CUGACACAGGUGCUGCAUGGCUGUCGGUCAGCUCGUGUCGUGAGAUGUUGGGUUAAGUCCCGUAACGAGCGCAACCCUUGUCUUAGUUACCAGCACGUUAUGGUGGGCACUCUAAGGAGACUGCCGGUGACAAACCGGAGGAAGGUGGGGAUGACGUCAAGUCAUCAUGGCCCUUACGGCCUGGGCUACACACGUGCUACAAUGGUCGGUACAAAGGGUUGCCAAGCCGCGAGGUGGAGCUAAUCCCAUAAAACCGAUCGUAGUCCGGAUCGCAGUCUGCAACUCGACUGCGUGAAGUCGGAAUCGCUAGUAAUCGUGAAUCAGAAUGUCACGGUGAAUACGUUCCCGGGCCUU
rnacentral:rRNA from 1 species